rnacentral:rRNA from 1 species
CUCGGAGUUUGAUCCUGGCUCAGAUUGAACGCUGGCGGCAUGCUUUACACAUGCAAGUCGAACGGUAACAGGCCGCAAGGUGCUGACGAGUGGCGAACGGGUGAGUAAUGUAUCGGAACGUGCCCAGUCGUGGGGGAUAACGCAGCGAAAGCUGCGCUAAUACCGCAUACGAUCUAUGGAUGAAAGCGGGGGACCGUAAGGCCUCGCGCGAUUGGAGCGGCCGAUAUCAGAUUAGGUAGUUGGUGGGGUAAAGGCUCACCAAGCCAACGAUCUGUAGCUGGUCUGAGAGGACGACCAGCCACACUGGAACUGAGACACGGUCCAGACUCCGUACGGGGAGGCAGCAGUAGGGAAUAUUGGGGCAAUGGACGCAAGUCUGAUCCAGCCAUUCCGCGUGCAGGACUAGGACGU